UACGAAGGGGGCUAGCGUUGUUCGGAAUUACUGGGCGUAAAGCGCACGUAGGCGGAUACUUAAGUCAGGGGUGAAAUCCCGGGGCUCAACCCCGGAACUGCCUUUGAUACCGGGUAUCUCGAGUCCGGAAGAGGUGAGUGGAAUUCCGAGUGUAGAGGUGAAAUUCGUAGAUAUUCGGAAGAACACCAGUGGCGAAGGCGGCUCACUGGCCCGGUACUGACGCUGAGAUACGAAAGCGUGGGGAGCAAACAGG
rnacentral:rRNA from 1 species